AUGCUGCUGUGUGCCCUGUAUCUAGUGGGAGCUCAGCAAACACUUGUCAAGGGAUAAAACACAAUGUGGUGUGUGAUUAGAUUGUUAAACUAUUAUUAGCUUGAAAUCUGGGAGUAUUUAUACCACAGAAAUCAGCCAGUGCCACGAAUGAUUGUUUUGUUUCGUUUUUUAGUUCAGGGAGCCAGUUUACUAGCAAACCACUAGAUGAAAAUAUCAAUCAUGUCAUCUCUUACAGAAGAGAAAAUGCUCUUAUCUCCUCUGAAAGGAAAAGUACUAUCAUGCACUUCUCGAACCAGGGCUGAAGGGCUGGCAGUGGCUGUGCUCCUCUGUCUCGGGUCACAGCACUUGGCUUGUUGGAAGACCUCUUACCCGCAGCUAUAAUUCUCUCCAGGUGCUGUCCGCCCUUCUCCCCUUCCAAGUCCUGGGUGGUGGAACUGCAUCCCCCUAUCAUGAGACCCUGGUGCCUCUCAUCAUUUAUUUGUUCUCUUAACCUGUCCACACCUCCAUAAAUCUUCUCCUCAAUAAACUCUUUUCAGUCA